UGACCAGCAACAGCUAUUCCUACCUCCUCGUGGUACCGGCCGGAAACUACGAGCAACCUUAGGGAAGAUCGGGUAACCAACCCCGGUGGGAAAUUUGGUCGUUGGCUGACAGAAAAGG
rnacentral:ribozyme from 1 species